rnacentral:rRNA from 1 species
CAGCAGCCACGGUAAUACGUAGGUGGCAAGCGUUGUCCGGAAUUAUUGGGCGUAAAGGGCUCGCAGGCGGUUUCUUAAGUCUGAUGUGAAAGCCCCCGGCUCAACCGGGGAGGGUCAUUGGAAACUGGGAAACUUGAGUGCAGAAGAGGAGAGUGGAAUUCCACGUGUAGUGGUGAAAUGCGUAGAGAUGUGGAGGAACACCAGUGGCGAAGGCGACUCUCUGGUCUGUAACUGACGCUGAGGAGCGAAAGCGUGGGGAGCGAACAGGAUUAGAUACCCCCGUAGUCCCUGUCUCUUAUAC